rnacentral:lncRNA from 1 species
GAUGUAAGCGGGCACUAGGUAUGGCAUAAGGGUGCACGGCAUGGGGUGAGUGUGCAUGGCGUACAGAGAAAGUGUGAGUGGAGAGCGUGAGCUCGUGUGGAGUGUUGAGGGUAUGGCUGUUCUCAAUCCCAAUGCCUGUGUGCGCUGGGUGUGGGGUUAGGAUCCUGUGCAUGGGGCAUAAAGCAAGUGUGUGCAUUGUGGUCAAGUGUGGACAGCAUGGAUUGAAUGUGAUUGAGGCAUAGGAUGAAUAGGCAGGGUAUGAGGGCAUGGGUAAGUGUUAAUGGGGAUGGAGAGAGUGCAGGGUGUGGAGUGUGUGGGGAGUGAGUGUACCAGCAGACAGGAAAUACAUGGGGCAUGGAGUGAGUGAACACGGGGAGAAAUGCAUAGCAUGGAGGAGGAGUGGGAGCGAGUGUCCCUGUGGCCUUGGGGUGUGCAGGGAAUGCUGGAGGCUCACAGAGGUAUCAGGGUGUGCACAGUGGGACUGGGGGUGCUGGCACGAGCUAUGGUUGUGCAGGAAGGCAUUCCUGAAGGUGCGAGGCAUGUGGGUGCCUGUCAGUGUGCACAGGAGUAUGAGCGUGAAUGGCACAUGCUGGGGGUGUAACUCUGUGUGUGUGGGCAUGGAGAAUGGCCAUGUACAUCCCAUGUGCCAGCCCCCUUUUGGGUUCCCCUGGCCCAAUGCCAGGAGAGCAGUGCUGCAGGGCCAGUGCCUGUGGAACAGUUAUGGAUGUGGUUCUGCUUUCCCUCAACAGGGCCACCAAGUACUCCCAGCCUCAUCCCAGGAGCUCUCCCAGACUGGCUGUGGGCCUACAGAUGUGACCAGAAAGCAGCACAGGAAGCGAACAGCCUGCUCUGGACAAGCACAAUCCUGGCCAUACUGCAGCCUUGGAGAGGCUGCUGGCCUCUGGGACCACCAGGGCCAGCCAGUCUGUGUGUGCAGGUGUGGGAAGAUGAGGCGGCUCUGAUGACACCCAGUGGGGCUGAAGGAGUGCAGGGCGGAGCUCUGGGGAAUUUUAAAGUGAGAGGAAGCUUGGAUGAGGAGAUGGUGGAGGAAGGGAAGGUUUGCUGGGAGCCCAUGCAGCCAUCCACUUACUCAGCUUUUGACAUCCUGAAGCACAGCUCUCCUCACUCCCCUGCCUGGCAGCACCCAUGGGACUGGAGCGACAGCUACGUGAGUCAGGGCUGGGUGUGGGGUCAGGGUGACCCUGCCUUUUGUGGCAGCAUUAGUCACCAUGCCAAACUUCCCCAGCCCAGCAGCGCUGGAGCCCCCAGCAUCACUGCCUUCUUGCUGGCUCAUACCCCACAAGCUGCCCGAGUUUGCUUGAUGUGACUCAGGCCCAGCCCCAUGGCCACUGGUCUGGCCCGGCCAGUCCUCCCGGCCACCAGGGCUGGGGCGCUGGCAGAGCCCGGGGCAGUGGCUGAGUGCCAGCACCAGCGCUCAGCCACGCCACCCUCACAUCGGGGUGGGAAGGCAGGACCUGGCCGCCUCUGGCCAUCCCUGGAGCAUCCUUGCAGUGAGGCAGAUCCUCCCUCUUCAUCUUCCUCCCAGCGCCUGGCAGAGGGUGUGGAUAGCAUCCCAUGGGGCUGGAGCAGGCCCCCAUGCACGCUGCCUCCCACACACCACGGGGACAGGCCGUGCUGGGGGACACCCCAUGGCAGAGCUGGUAUGACCACCAUGGGGGUACCCAGACCUUGCAUUGCCUUUGGCAGGGAGAGCAUGUCCCCAAAAGGGCCAGGCUGAUGGUUGAGGCAGCAGGGAGGAGGCUGGAUAAGACUGUCCAAGCACAUCUGUGCAGGGCUGCUCCAGGUGUCUCCUGUGGGGAGGGGUGCACAGCCACAAGGAUAGCUGGGAGGUGCUGGUCCCCAUGCAGAGUGAUCAGGGCAUGAAGCCACCUCAGCAAUCACUUUUCCUGCAGAUCUGCCUUCCAGGGGUAUGCAUAGGCAGAUCCCCCUCCCUAAGGAUGGAGGGUGGCUGCUGCCUUUGUUCAGGGUGAGUAAUGAGGCCAUGGAGUGGAAGAUGCUUGGAUAAGGUGAGAGGUUGGUAGUCAGAAACAACACCCAGGAGUGAGGGAGCUUCUGCUCUGCCCUUCUUCUGAGGGGGGAAGCUAAGGGAUGCCCUGGUGUCAGGCAGCCCCCUGACAGCCUCCAGAGCCCACUGCCCUCACAAACACUGCUUAGUGUGUGCCAGGCCAGCACAGCCAGUCCCACAAUGCUGGAGUUAUGCAGACAGAGCAAGGCCCAGACACCAGUGAUGGAGAGGGUCCAACAGGAAAAGGAAGUACACAGACCCCUCAUGUUCAUAGGCAGUGUCUCCAAAGAGCAUGUCUGGGGUCCUUGUGCAGCCCAUCUCCUGUCCCUCGAGAGAUCACACCACUCUGCACUCUGCUUUAGGUCCCAGCAUAUUCCCUUGCUUGAGUGCUCAGAGAUGCUGCAGCAGAGCUGGCCUGGACACCCCCUGUACCCAUGUGCCCCAUUCCAGAGGCAGCCACUGCACACGCUGGAGUCCCAGAAACAGGGCAGAGCCAGGAGGAGCUGGGUUGGGUCAGCAGAACCCCCAUGAUGGGCAGGGAUGAGCCAGGCCCUCCUGAGCAAGAUGGCAUUGCUGUGUGACAUCUGUCACUGAGAAAUGGAGUGAGGACAGAGCAGGACAGUUACAGGCAGCUCCCUGGAGGGAGCAGCAGAGCCUGGAGAAGGAGAGUUAGAGGCUCCCCGGGAGAGCAAAGCUGGGCAGGCAGGAGCCCUGGCCAGGACCCAGCUCUGCCGCUGGCCGGGCAGCCCCUGCUCAGCCACAAGCAGUGAGCCGGCAGCACAACCACAGGAAAAGGGUUUGACACGGUUUUUGGGUGCCACUGUCCAAGCCUGACCACUCAGCUUGGCUGAGCUGGUAUCCAGGUUUCUUGGCCUCCCCCUCUUAGGACUUACUUGCAUUACUGCAAACUUUCCUAAAGUGCUUCUUUUAUGGGGGCAAAAAUAUUCUAUUUUGGUCUCAGUCCAGAGAGAUUUUCUUUUUCAAAUUCGAUUGAAUUAAUCUGUCCAGCUGUUUUCAGCUUGGGAAAUUGAAGGGAAAACUACAUUCUUCCCAUUUGGAAAGAAAAUGUAAAAAAAAAAAAAAAAAAA